rnacentral:misc_RNA from 1 species
AGCAGCCGCGGUAAUUCCAGCUCCAAUAGCGUAUAUUAAAGUUGUUGCAGUUAAAAGCUCGUAGUUGAAUUUCGGAAUCUGUCCAUCGGUCGGGCUUCACUGUCCGUACUGGUGUGGUGGGUUCUUACCUUCUGAAUAACCAGCAUGCCAUUCACUUGGUGCGCUGGGGAAGCAGGACUAUUACCUUGAAAAAUUAGAGUGCUCAAAGCAGGCUAGUGCCUGAAUACAUUAGCAUGGAAUAAUAAAAUAGGACGGCAUGGUUCUAUUUUGUGGUUUCUAGGAUCACCGUAAUGAUUAAUAGGGAUAGUUGGGGGCAUUAGUAUUCAAUUGUCAGAGUGAAAUUCUUGGAUUUAUUGAAGACUAACUACUGCGAAAGCAUUGCCAAGGAUGUUUCAUUAAUCAAGAACGAAAGUUAGGGAUCGAAGACGAUCAGAUACCGUGUAGUCUUAACCAUAAACUAUAGCCGACUAGGGAUCGGAUGAUGUUAAUUUUUAAUGUA